AACGAACGCUGGCGGCAGGCUUAACACAUGCAAGUCGAGCGCCCCGCAAGGGGAGCGGCAGACGGGUGAGUAACGCGUGGGAAUCUACCCAUCUCUACGGAAUAACGCAUGGAAACGUGUGCUAACACCGUAUACGUCCUUCGGGAGAAAGAUUUAUCGGAGAUGGAUGAGCCCGCGUUGGAUUAGCUAGUUGGUGGGGUAAAGGCCUACCAAGGCGACGAUCCAUAGCUGGUCUGAGAGGAUGAUCAGCCACACUGGGACUGAGACACGGCCCAGACUCCUACGGGAGGCAGCAGUGGGGAAUAUUGGACAAUGGGCGCAAGCCUGAUCCAGCCAUGCCGCGUGAGUGAUGAAGGCCCUAGGGUUGUAAAGCUCUUUCACCGGUGAAGAUAAUGACGGUAACCGGAGAAGAAGCCCCGGCUAACUUCGUGCCAGCAGCCGCCGUUAAAA
rnacentral:rRNA from 1 species